rnacentral:rRNA from 1 species
CCUACGGGAGUCAGCAGUGGGGACUAUUGCACACUGGGGGAAACCCUGAUGCAGCGACGCCGCGUGAGCGAUGAAGUAUUUCGGUACGUAAAGCUCUAUCAGCAGGGAAGACCAUGACGGUACCUGACUAAGAAGCCCCGGCUAACUACGUGCCAGCAGCCGCGGUAAUACGUAGGGGGAAAGUGUUAUCCGGAUUUACUGGGUGUAAAGGGAGCGUAGACGGUCCUGCAAGCCAGAGGUGAAAGCCCGGGGCGCAACCCCGGGACUGCAUUUGGAACUGUAAGGCUAGAGUGUCUGAGAGGCAUGCGGAAUUCCUAGUGUAGCGGUGAAAUGCGUAGAUAUUAGGAGGAACACCAGUGGCGAAGGCGGCCUGCUGGACGAUGACUGACGUUGAGGCUCGAAAGCGUGGGGAGCAAACAGGAUUAGAUACCCUUGUAGUC